rnacentral:rRNA from 1 species
CCCUUAGAUGUUCUGGGCCGCACGCGUGCUACACUGAGUAAAUCAAUGGGUAAGGGAACACGAAAGUGCAACCUAAUCUUGAAAUUUGCUCGUGAUGGGGAUCGACGGUUGCAAUUUUCCGUCGUGAACGAGGAAUACCUUGUAGGCGCGUGUCAUCAUCACGCGCCGAAUACGUCCCUGCCCUUUGUACACACCGCCCGUCGCUCCUACCGAUUGAGUGAUCCGGUGAGGCCCUGGGACCUGGACGGAAAGAGCGUUUCGCUUGUUCUGUUUGGGAAACUUGGUCGAACCUUAUCAUUUAGAGGAAGGAGAAGUCGUAACA